UAUUAAACUUAUAGAAUUAAAUUUCUGCUAGUUGUUUUUUGUUGCAAAAAAAAUCUAGUAUAAUAAUAUUUAAAUUUACAUAUAUUUUUCACGUUUUCAAUGCCAAUUUUGUGUAAUGGCGAAGUUUCCCACUACCCGUGAAUGCCUCUUUUUUUUAUGUCUCUGGCUGACUCCUGAAUCUCCGCCCACUCUCUGCUCGAUCCCUACCGAAUGAAAGAGAUCUUUGGUUUUGCCUUUGCUGACUGCUGAUCCGAUCAUCUCAAGUCUGGAGACCUGCUGCAGAAAACCCUCUCCCUCUAUCGUUGACAAGCCAUUAACAAGCAAUUUCAGUCUGUCCUAUCACUCUCCCUCUCCCUGCUCCAUCUUUUUUGACAAGCCAUUCUAUCUUCUGUCAUUUCUCCGCCAUGAGCUCUAUCUAAUUUUGACAAGCUUAAACCUGUGUUGACAAGAAAUCUAAGUUUGACAAGAAACCAAGUUUGACAAGAAACCAAGGUUGUCAAGAAACCAAGUUUUUGGAAUUGAAGUUACCAGAACUUCGUCGAUCUGUUUUCAGAAUUCUGAGAGAUCUCUGCUCUCACUGCUCCUUCUUUCCUGUUGUUAAACUCUCUCAUAUCCACUAGUUUUGCUGGAAAUUGCAAGUAGAAAGUUGAAUAUACAGUAGUAGAAUUACAGUACAGUAGAUUUUACAGUACAAACUACUUACACAGCCCCACAUUUAUAGGUUUGACUUGGCAUUACACUGAUAGUUUGCCUUACAGGUGCAAUUACUUUGAUAAAUUAUAUAAAAUAUACACAUUUAUAAAGGCUUAUCUGUAAUGAGAUAAUUGGUUAUUUUGUAAUACAUACAUUCGGACUGCUGUAUUCACAUAAAUAUUAAAUCAGAUCCGAAUACAUUUUUCAAGUCUGUUUCAUUGACUAUAACAUUUGACUACAGUAAGUUAUAUAUAAAUACUAUUGUUAUUCAAACCCAUUUCUAUUACUCAGUGUAAGUGUUCAGUCACAAUUGUCAUCGAGAAGCUGCCCUGAGGUCCCAGACUUCCUGUUUCCUGACUGCUGCAGAACAUCCAGCUGAAGAAUCCUCAUCGCCUGUCAUCUGAUCACCGCACCACCACAGCUCCAUAUAGUUGAUUUAAGUUUUAGAUAUCUGAAAGAUUUACAUAAACUCUAUUUAAGAGCCAGAAGUUUUAUUAUAUCCUGUUGAUUGUUGUGAUUUCUAAAUAUCCCGUUACAGAAGUAUAGAUCUAAUCAUUAACCAGUCUGGUUAAAAAAAUAUACAUUUUCUGAAAAAGCUACAAUAACACUGACCCAAGUGUUUUCAGAGAACUUUGAAUAUCUUUAAUAUUGAGUUUGGAUUUAAGUCAGCCUUUUACAUCAUUUACAUAUCCAUAAGAACAUUUGAAGAACUUUACAUUUCUCAGAUUUGAUAGCAAUUUGAAGAGU
ensembl:lncRNA